GUGCUCGCUUCAGCAGCACAUAUAUGAAAAUUGGAACAACACAGAGAAGAUUAGCAUGACCCCUGCGCAAGGAUGACAUGUAAUUAGUGAAGCGUUCCAUAUUUUU